rnacentral:rRNA from 1 species
UACGUAGGGUCCGAGCGUUGUCCGGAAUUAUUGGGCGUAAAGGGCUCGUAGGCGGCCUGUCGCGUCGACUGUGAAAACUCACGGCUCAACCGUGGGACUGCAGUCGAUACGGGCAGGCUAGAGUUCGGUAGGGGAGACUGGAAUUCCUGGUGUAGCGGUGAAAUGCGCAGAUAUCAGGAGGAACACCGGUGGCGAAGGCGGGUCUCUGGGCCGAUACUGACGCUGAGGAGCGAAAGCGUGGGGAGCGAACAGG